GAAGACCAGAAGGUCAGGGAGAAUUGGAGAACUCUAAAAGCAUUAUGACAGCAUCCUAUUUAAAGGAAGGCUAUAACAGUUCAAGCCCUGACCACCUCUUCCCUGGAAUACUGGACUCUACUUAUAAAGAUCUCCUAACUGGUCUUCCUGACUCCAAGGCUUUCCUGAAUCAAUGAGAAAGCAUUUUAAGCACUUCCUGAUAAAAGGUGCAGUAUAAAUCCAAACUGCUAUAUUCAUUCAACAAAGACUUAUUAAAUGUCUACUGUGUGCAGAACACUGUCCUAGGCACUGGAGAUGUGACAUCAUUCCUGCCAUGAAGGACCUAACAACCCCGUAACGACGGCUAAGAAGUUACUUUCCAAGAGAACAUGUAGCAACCAUAAAAACUAUGCCCCAAGAGCAACAGAAUAGCCCA